AUUUGAGUGAAAUGGAGAACA
rnacentral:miRNA from 17 species